CUGAAUGAUCCCUAAUUAAGACGCAAGAGGAAAUGUUCCAAGAGCAAGGCUCCAUGAGCGUCAAUCAAUGAGCACUCAGCCGUGAUCGCUAAGGAUCAGUCGUCGGGCCCAGAAGCACAAAGGGCCAGAGGUGCCCGUGAAGCCGGUUCUGUGCCGGGCCGCGGUGCAAUGGGCCUGGUGCGGUGAGUGCCCGGCUCCAGGCUCCUAGGAGGGGACAGCACUGCUUCGUCCUCUUCAUUCCCUCCCUCCAUCUUCAGCCCUGCCGGGCUCCGGCCCCCUCUCCGGACACCGGGAGGGACCAUGUUCCACGGCAGCGCGGAGGGCGCGACAACAGCCGCUGAAGGGUCUGAGCUCCGCAGAACCCAGAGCAGGGAGGGCAGAGUCCUUCCCCGGACGUCCCCGUGGGGCAGCCCACGCUGGAGCUUGAGCUCAGCCCCGUGCCCCUCAGUCCUCCACCCCCAUCCCACAGCAGGGACUGGAUUUCCUUGUGUGUCUGUGUGUGCAGGGCUGUAGUGUCCUGAGGCCUGGUCAACGUGGACUCUGGCGAGGGAGAAGAGUCUCAUUUGCUCCAUCGUUUAACUUGCAACUUACAUGGGAAUUGUGUGUUUGAUCGAAAAUAAAAGGAGUUAAGAAUUGG